rnacentral:lncRNA from 1 species
GAUAAAUUUAACUCUUAGGCUGAUAAAACUCGCGUGGCAUUUGUUCCCUGAACCAUUUAAGUUCGGAGUGAUCUACGAGAGGGUAUGGCUUUCCUGAAUUCACCUCCUUGCGUUUUCUUAAAAGUAACUGUGCAAAAUUAGACACAAGAAGGAAAAACACCACUCCCCUUGCUGUUCUCCAAGGCCUCAGCGUUUAAGGCAAAACGCUCAAAGCUCACCAGGGUGCUGAACCCUAACCAUGACAAUGCCAUUUAACUUAAGAAAUACGUCUCCGGGGAUUGCAAAGCCCACGUCCAGAGAACAGGUGCCGCCACCGACAUACCCCCUCGACUCCAGCAGGACAGACCUCCGCUGGACCGCUGUGACUCAUUUAACCUUCCCCUAGAAGUUGAGACCCUCCACAGCCGCCGGCUUGUCAGUCGCCGAUCUAAGGGAGGGGGAGACCGAGGCACCCAGGCCAUUCACUGCCCAGCCUCCGCCGCUCUCCGGGACGGAUCUCCGUGCGGGUUCACUCCGGUUUCCAGCCCCAGAAACCCACACAGAAACCCCGCAAGGCAGAGGAACCCGCCUUCCCACGGUCUGGCCACGGGGACCGGACCCCGCUGCGGGGGACAAGGAGCGUGGUUGCCAUCUGCCAUUUCACCUACAUAUUUUUCGGGAAAUCACGCAAAGGAUAAUACUGUUACUGCUACGGACAAGAAGGUACCGCCAGCAAAUCCUACCUUAAGACAAGACUUUGCCAAGUUGCCCAUAUUAGCCUUGCCAAGCACUGGGAGGCAUGCACCUCCUCAUGCAGUGAGACUGGGAUUACUGAAGAGGGUGAAGCAUUUGCCUCAGGCUCGCGAACAACGACCCCAGGAAGCAACCCAUCCACCUCCUUCACACAAUUUGAGCAAAUGAUCUACCUACCUUUGAUGUUAAAGCCACUGAGAUUUGGCUGUUUUUCUUGUUUGUUUGUUUGUUUUGUUUUACUGCAGUGUGACCUAGAAUCUAAGUUAUGUUAGGUAGAUUGUACUAGAAUCAGGGUGGUCGCAAAGUAUUAUAAUUAAUCUCCUCAAUAUCGUUACACUACUUGAGUAAACCAGCCCCAUCCGACCAAAAGGUCGACUUCCAGUCUAUGCUUCGGAGAGAGGAUUCUCCUUCCCCUAGGUGUGAAUAAGUCAGCCUAUAAACCAAAGUGCUGCAGACAUCAGUGUGCAAGAUGAACUGGCUGUAAAAUGAACACAAUAAAGAUGACAGCGAGACAGGAAAACUCUGGAAA